rnacentral:rRNA from 1 species
AGCAGCCGCGGUAAUUCCAGCUCCAAUAGCGUAUAUUAAAGUUGUUGCAGUUAAAAAGCUCGUAGUUGAAUUUCGGGGUCAGUAGAUUGGUCAUGCCUCCGGUAUGUACUGGUCUUACUGGCUCCUCCUUCCUGAUGAACCGUAAUGCCAUUAAUUUGGUGUUGCGGGGAGACUGGACUGUUACUUUGAAAAAUUAGAGUGUUUAAAGCAGGCUAACGCUUGAAUACAUUAGCAUGGAAUAAUGAAAUAGGACGUUCGAUCUUAUUUUGUUGGUUUCUAAGAUUGACGUAAUGAUUAAUAGGGAUAGUUGGGGGCAUUAGUAUUCAAUUGUCAGAGGUGAAAUUCUUGGAUUUAUUGAAGACUAACUACUGCGAAAGCAUUUGCCAAGGAUGUUUUCAUUAAUCAAGAACGAAGUUAGGGGAUCGAAGACGAUCAGAUACCGUCGUAGUCUUAACCAUAAACUAUGCCGACUAGGGAUCGGAUAAUGUUAAUUUUUAAUGACUCAUUCGGCGCCUU